CCCGUCCUGGACAGGAGCCCGCGGGUGCGGACCGCCGCCGACCGCCUGGGCUUCGAAUGCCCGGGGCGGGCC
rnacentral:tRNA from 1 species